GAUUAAAUGGCUGAAAAUUAGGCAAUAGACUGUAAAUCUAUGUAUGAAAAUUAUUUUUCUUUAGUCA
rnacentral:tRNA from 1 species